rnacentral:rRNA from 1 species
UCCCGUUGAUCCUGCGGGAGAACGCUGCUAUUGGGAUUCGACUAAGCCAUGCAAGUCAAGGGGGAGCAAUCCACCGGCACACUGCUCAGUAACACGUCGAUAGUCUGCCCUAUGAUCUGGGAUAUCCUUGGGAAACUGAGGUUAAAACCGGAUAGUAAAUGAGUCCUGGAAUGGACCAUUUUAGAAAAGUAAUGUCAUAGGAUGAGUCGGCGGCUGAUUAGGCUGUUGGCGGGGUAAUGGCCCACCAAACCUAUGAUCAGUACGGGCCUUGAAAGAGGGAGCCCGGAGAAGGGUACUGAGAUACUGACCCUGGCCUUACGGGGUGCAGCAGGCGCGAAAACUUUACACUGCACGAAAGUGUGAUAAGGGAAUCCCAAGUGCUUACACAAUGUGUAGGCUUUUGCCAAGAUUAAAGAUCUUGGCGAAUAAGUGGUGGGCAAGACUGGUGCCAGCCGCCGCGGUAAUACCAGCGCCACAAGUGGGGUUCACGAUUAUUGGGCCUAAAGCGUCCGUAGCCGGUCUGUUAAAUCCUUUGUGAAAUCGCCGAGCUUAACUCGGCGGCGUGCAGAGGACACUGGCAGACUAGGAACCGGGAGGGGUCAGGGGUAUUCUGUGGGGAGCGGUAAAAUGCUAUAAUCCUCAGAGGACCACCUGUGGCGAAGGCGCCUGACCAGAACGGAUUCGACGGUGAGGGACGAAAGCUAGGGGAGCGAUCCGGAUUAGAUACCCGAGUAGUCCUAGCUGUAAACGCUGCGAGCAAGGUGUUGCGUAUUCUUCAAGAAUGCGCAGUGUCGAAGAGAAGUCGUUAAGCUCGCCGCCUGGGAAGUACGGUCGCAAGACUGAAACUUAAAGGAAUUGGCGGGGGAGCACUACAAGGGGUGCGGCGUGCGGUUUAAUCGGAUUCAGCGCCGGAAAUCUCACCAGAGGCGACGGCAGGAUGAUGGUCAGGUUGAAGACUUUACCAGACGAGCCGAGAGGUGGUGCAUGGCCGCCGUCAGCUCGUGCCGUAAGGUGUCCUCUUAAGUGAGGCAACGAGCAAGACCUGUGUUCACAAUUGCUAACGCCACGUUCCGUGGAGCGAGCACAAUGUGGAGACUGCCUUGGAAACAAGGAGGAAGGUGCAGGCUACGGUAGGUCUGUAUGCCCCGAAUCCUCUGGGCUACACGCGCGCAACAAUGGUAGGGACAAUGGGAUGCGACUCCGAAAGGAGAAGCUAAACCUCUAAACCCUAUCUCAGUCCAGAUUGAGGGCUGUAACUCGCCCUCAUGACGUCGGAAUCCCUAGUAAUCGGAUGUCAUUAUCGUCCGGUGAAUAUGUCCCUGCUCCUUGCACACACCGCCCGUCAAACCAACCGAGCAGGAUUUAAGUGAGGCGCGAUUUUUUGAUCUCGUCGAACUUAAGCUCAGUGAGGUGGGUUAAGUCGUCACAAGGUA